rnacentral:rRNA from 1 species
AACGCGAAGAACCUUACCUACUCUUGACAUCCAGAGAACUUAGCAGAGAUGCUUUGGUGCCUCCGGGAACUCUGAGACAGGUGCUGCAUGGCUGUCGUCAGCUCGUGUUGUGAAAUGUUGGGUUAAGUCCCGCAACGAGCGCAACCCUUAUCCUUUGUUGCCAGCGGUUAGGCCGGGAACUCAAAGGAGACUGCCAGUGAUAAACUGGAGGAAGGUGGGGAUGACGUCAAGUCAUCAUGGCCCUUACGAGUAGGGCUACACACGUGCUACAAUGGCAUAUACAAAGAGAAGCGACCUCGCGAGAGCAAGCGGACCUCAUAAAGUAUGUCGUAGUCCGGAUUGGAGUCUGCAACUCGACUCCAUGAAGUCGGAAUCGCUAGUAAUCGUAGAUCAGAAUGCUACGGUGAAUACGUUCCCGGGUCUUGUACACACCG